UGGGGAAUAUUGGACAAUGGGCGAAAGCCUGAUCCAGCCAUGCCGCGUGAGUGACGAAGGCCUUAGGGUUGUAAAACUCUUUCGUCGGGGACGAUAAUGACGGUACCCGAAGAAGAAGCUCCGGCUAACUUCGUGCCAGCAGCCGCGGUAAUACGAAGGGAGCUAGCGUUGUUCGGAAUCACUGGGCGUAAAGCGCACGUAGGCGGAUAGUUAAGUCAGGGGUGAAAUCCUGGGGCUCAACCCCAGAACUGCCUUUGAUACUGUUAGUCUCGAGUCCGAUAGAGGUGAGUGGAAUUCCUAGUGUAGAGGUGAAAUUCGUAGAUAUUAGGAAGAACACCAGUGGCGAAGGCGGCUCACUGGAUCGGUACUGACGCUGAGGUGCGAAAGCGUGGGGAGCAAACAGGAUUAGAUACCCACGUAGUCCCUGAGCGGGCUGGCAAGGCGCAU
rnacentral:rRNA from 1 species